CCUACGGGAGGCAGCAGUGAGGAAUAUUGGUCAAUGGGCGCGAGCCUGAACCAGCCAAGUCGCGUGAGGGAAGACGGUCCUAUGGAUUGUAAACCUCUUUUGUCGGGGAGCAAAAGACGCCACGCGUGGCGUUCCGAGAGUACCCGAAGAAAAAGCAUCGGCUAACUCCGUGCCAGCAGCCGCGGUAAUACGGAGGAUGCGCGCGUUAUCCGGAUUUAGUGGGUUUAAGGGGUGCGCAGGCGGAAGAUCAAGUCAGUGGUAAAAUUGAGAGGCUCAACCUCUUCGAGCCGUUGAAACUGGUUUUCUUGAGUGAGUGAGAAGUAUGCGGAAUGCGUGGUGUAGCGGUGAAAUGCAUAGAUAUCACGCAGAACUCCGAUUGCGAAGGCAGCAUACCGGCGCUCAACUGACGCUCAUGCACGAAAGUGUGGGUAUCGAACAGGAUUAGAUACCCGAGUAGUC
rnacentral:rRNA from 1 species